rnacentral:lncRNA from 1 species
CCGGGCUGUCCCUACACCCACCGUGGUAAAAAAAAAAAACCGAAAGUGUCCCCAUCCCAGGGCUGGCCCCAAGCAGCCCCACCCCCACCCCAACAUAGCCCCCUCCCCACUCCUGGGAUGUCAUUCCCCCAGGAUGUCACCCCCCUGGGAUGUCACCUCAUUGGGUUGUCACCCCCCCGGGAUGUCACCUCUUUGGGAUGUCACCUCCCUGGGCUGUCACCUUUCUGGGAUGUCACCCCCCGGGAUGUCACCACCCCCCUGGGAUGUUCCUGUCCUGGUUUGGGGACAACGUGGGGACGGUGGCACUGUGCAGGUGGCAGUGGGGAUGUUUGGGGACAGCCCUGGGAUGGGGACACUUUCGGUCCCCGGGUGGCACCACGGUGGGUGUAGGGACAGCCCGGUUCUCCCCCAGUGUCCCCAAACCAGGGGACAAGCCCCGCUCCCUUGGUGGCAUGGGGACAGCUCUGCGCCAAGUGUCCCCAGGCUCUGCGGGGAGGGGACAGGUCCGGGUGUCCUGCUGGGCAUGGGGACAACCCCGCCACAGGGUCCCCAGUGUCCCCAGUGUCCCCAUGUGGGGCAGGUCCCCGGUGUCCCCAGCGUCCCCAUGUGGUGGAGUGGUCCCCAGUGUCCCCAACGUCCCCCUGUGGGGCACGUCCCUAAUGUCCCCAACGUCCUCAAUGUCCCCAAGGUCCCCAUGUGGGGCACGUCCCUAAUGUCCCCAGUGUCCCCAACGUCCCCAUGUGGGGCAGGUCCCCAUUUCCCCAAUGUCCCCAACAUCCCCAUGUGGGGUGGUCCCCAGUGUCCCCAAAAUCCCCGUGUGGGGCAGAUCCCCGGUGUCCCCAACGCCCCCACCCAGGGCACGUCCCCAUUGUCCCCGUUGUCCCUUCGUGGGGUGGAUCUCCCUACCCCGUCCCCUCCUCUUUGGGGACACUUUGGGGACUGGGUGGCCAGGCAGGUGGCAGGCGGUGCCGGUGCCGUUUAUAGCCCGGAGCCGGUGGGUGGGAGCCGGGCGCAGGAUCCGGCCUGGCACCGAGCCCGGUGUCACCGUCACCGUCACCGGCGUCACCGCCACCCAUGGGGUACAGCCCCGGGGAGAGGGGGGGGUGGCGGUGAUCCCCCCCCCCCAGGGAUGUCCCUUGUCCCCAGGGAGAUGACGGCCAGGAGGUGGGGGCUCCUGGCCCUGGGUGCCCAGAGGUGGGUUGCCUUGUCCCCAGUGGUGUCCCUUUGUCCCCAGGGGUGUCCCUUUGUCCCCUGGGGUGUCCUUUUGUCCCCGGGGGGGAUCUCUCGUCCCCAUCCUGCCGGGUGGUCCCCAAGGGGGACGUCCCUUGUCCCCUGCUGCCGAUGGCAUCCCUCAUCCCCGGGGCUGGUCCCCCUUGGUGGGGGGUGUCCCCUGUCCCAGAGGGGAUGUCCCCUGUUCCCUGUCCCCAUAAGGGAUGUCCCCUGUCCCCUCACCUCAUGGGGGAUGUCUCAUGUCCCCUGUCCCCAUAAGGGAUGUCCCUGUCCCCUCACCCCAUAGAGGAUGUCCCUGUCCCCAUAGGGGAUGUCCCCUGUCCCCUCACCCCACAGAGGACACCCCUUACCCUCAUCCCCAUGGGGACACCCUGGGGGCUCCCCUAUCCCCUGCACCGGGCGAUCCGAGUGAUUUUUUUUUUUGAUUUUUUUUUAAAUUUUUUCAUUUUUUUCGCGGUGGUGUCGGUGCCGGUGCUGGUGGUGGUGGUGGGGGCUGCCUCUCGCCGGGGUAUUUUUAUCCGCGCCGCCCCCGCGUGCGCUCGGUGCCGGUGACACGGUGACGGUGACGGUGACGGCGGCCGCGGGGACGUGGGGACGUGGCGAGGCCGCUGCUUACGCAGCCCCGGGGAUAAAUUUAGCACCUGGGGGCGGCUCACCUGCGCCAGCUGCAC